GUCCUUGAAGCCGGGACUGAAGUUGCCGUGGCCCCCGAUGCUGUAGAGGACGUCUUUGAUGCAGGUUUCUCUGCACCCACUUGACGAUGGCCUCGAAGAGAACCUCCUCUGAGUCCACGGUGAUCUCAGCGUCCGACAGCCAGUCGCGCACCAGGUGGAAGGGCAGUGUGUAAAACUCCUCGUCCUGGAUGACCUUGUGGAAGUUUCGGCGAAUCAUGUCAGCAGCACGCAGCGCCAGCUGGUCCAGUGAGUACAUGUGGGCCAGGCUGUGCACAGCCACGCAGUUGGUCAGAUUCAGCUUCUUUUUCAGGAAUUCGCCACAGAAGUCUUUCAGCUGGCCCAGUAAGAACCUGGACCAUAAGAGCAGAACAUACUAUCAACAACAAAUGUCUAAGAAAACUUGACUUACAUAGACAAGCACUCUGUAAAUGCAUUUUCCUUUAUGGAUGCUGUUUUACUAUUAAAUUAAAUUAAUGUCUUGGAUAUUUUUCCCAUUAAAUAAAAUAUUUAAUAACAUUCGAUUAAUAGGAUUCAUGCGCAUUUUCUUCGACUAAAGUAGUUUGUCGCAAAACUGUAAACUAUAUCCUGUUUUUUGGAGACGAAAGAAAAUAUGUAUUGAAAAAGCACAGGAAAAGUGACCCUUAUUUCUUUCAAAAACAAACCAGUUUUAAUUGCAGCUGGCUACCAGCAUAGGGAGGUCAUGGCAGAAUUUCAGGACUGACAAGUUUUUCGCCAGGGAUACAAACGCGUUUGGUCACUCAUCUGCUACAAAGAGACAGGAAACACUGAACUAAACACACGCAAAGGGAACCCCGUAAAGAGGGUUACUGCAUACCUUUACAGACCUCCUUCCCCACCGGAAAAAUAUUCCAUUCUGCAAGCUUCAAAAAUCUAAAUAUUACUACUGCCAAGAGGUCGGCAGUAUGUGUGUUUGCUGAUCGUUCAUAACCCUACGACUGCAGGCCAGCCACAGCCACAGAUGGUUGCCCCUCACCUGUCAGCCAGCUCCAGAACUUCGUGGACGUUGCAAGUGCUGACCCGUAUUUCCCCGGUAUACAUGUACU